AUUGAACGCUGGCGGCAUGCCUUACACAUGCCAGUCGAACGGCAGCACGGGAGCAAUCCUGGUGGCGAGUGGCGAACGGGUGAGUAAUACAUCGGAACGUGCCCAGUAGUGGGGGAUAACCCGGCGAAAGCCGGACUAAUACCGCAUACGACCUACGGGUGAAAGCGGGGGAUCGCAAGACCUCGCGCUAUCGGAGCGGCCGAUGUCAGAUUAGCUAGUUGGUGGGGUAAAGGCCUACCAAGGCGACGAUCUGUAGCUGGUCUGAGAGGACGACCAGCCACACUGGGACUGAGACACGGCCCAGACUCCUACGGGAGGCAGCAGUGGGGAAUUUUGGACAAUGGGCGCAAGCCUGAUCCAGCCAUGCCGCGUGCGGGAAGAAGGCCUUCGGGUUGUAAACCGCUUUUGUCAGGGAAGAAACGCUCCGGGCUAAUACCACGGAGUAAUGACGGUACCUGAAGAAUAAGCACCGGCUAACUACGUG
rnacentral:rRNA from 1 species